CUACGGGUCGCUGCAGUGAGGAAUAUUGCACAAUGGGGGGAACCCUGAUGCAGCAACGCCGCGUGGAGGAUGACGCAUUUCGGUGUGUAAACUCCUUUUAUAUGUCAAGAAAAUGGCGGUAGCAUAUGAAUAAGCACCGGCUAACUCCGUGCCAGCAGCCGCGGUAAUACGGAGGGUGCAAGCGUUACUCGGAAUCACUGGGCGUAAAGGACGCGUAGGCGGGUUGGAAAGUCAGGUGUGAAAUCCUACAGCUUAACUGUAGAACUGCACUUGAAACUUCUAAUCUAGAGUAUGGGAGGGGGAGAUGGAAUUAGUGGUUUAGGGGUAAAAUCCGUAGAUAUCACUAGGAAUACCUAAAGCGAAGGCGAUCUCCUGGAACAUUACUGACGCUAAGGCGUGAAAGCGUGGGGAGCAAACAGGAUUAGAUACCCCAGUAGUC
rnacentral:rRNA from 1 species